CAGUCUCCUCCCCCUCCCCCUCCUGCUCUGCUCCUGACUCCACCAGCUGGGACCAAUUCACCUCAUCACCUGCUCUGCUCUUAAGGAGUUCCAGUCCCAUUAGCCUACGCCAGUUCGUUGCCCUUUAUGGAUUCCAGCCUCCAAGUGUCCCCUGUGUGGAUGUCAGUCCGAGUCCUCCUACAGUCCGGUGGAAACCUCAAGCUCUGCCAAGCUGCGCUCUUACCUCCAGCCACGCCACUAGCCGCUGCCCUCCAAGCCACACCAACUUUCCUGGAAGGAAAAAUUAAACUCUUUACUUACCGUU